rnacentral:lncRNA from 1 species
UGGCUUUAUGCUGGUCUCACUCUAGGAAUAUUUCUUGUACUGUGAGUGUCCCAACUAAGGCAUUUCCUAGCCAGGGCUAGAGUCUUUUAAUAGCCCAGAUACCCCCUGGGCUCACUCUGGGUCACACUGGGCAUAGAGGCCUUAGUACCUUCGGGAGUUUUGGGGACUCCCAGCAUGGGGUAGGAUUAAGUGCUUGGCUUCCAGGUCUGAAAGAAGUAGGUUCAAAUCCCAGCUAUACUGUGCAUGAACUGGAGAGUAAUAUGCUUUAGUUCACAGAGCCUCAACCCAGGUGGGGCAGCGGGAUGAGCCCUGGAUUGGGAGCCAACCCAAGCAUAGGUUGAAACCCUAGCUGGAAGUGACAGGCACUGAGGAGGUGAAAUGGUGUCUUUAUUAUUUCAAAAUAAUGAGUUGGAGGGGGUAGCGAGGAAAUAAGGUUGCCCAUGAGGUGAUCAUUGUUGAGGCUGGGUGAUGGGUUUAUGGGGGUUCAUUACACUAUUCAUUCUACUGCUCUGUUUGAAAAAUCUCCAUUAAUAAAUAGGCUGGGCAUAGUGGCUCACGCCUGUAAUCCCAGCACUUUAAGAGGCUAAGGUGGGAGUCACUUGAGGUCAGGAGUUUGAGACCAGCCUGGCCAACAUGGUGAAACCCUGUCUUUACUAAAACUACAAAAAAUUUAGCUGGGCAUGGUGGUGCACGUCUGUAAUUUUAGCUACUCAGGAGACUGAGGUGGGAGAAUCACUUGAACCCGGGAGGCAGAGGUUGCAAUGAGCUGAGAUCAAGCCACAGCACUCCAGCCUGGGUGACAGAGCGAGACUCUGUCUCAAAAAAAAUAAAAUAAAACAAAAAGAAAAAAGAAAAAAGAAAAUCCCCAUUAAAAAAUAAAAUAAUAACAAUAACACCAAAAACCUUUUUGAAAACCCAGCUACGUUCACCACACCCUCCUCUAGCUGGAACAGCAUCUCUGGCUCCCAGGCACUGUUCUGCUUUAAAACUUCAUCAGGCAAGAGCAGCCAAGGUGAGAAUCCCUGCUUAUAGCCAUCUCUCACUAGCUGUGUACCUCAAGCCACUGUCUUUCCGCUGCUGAGCCUCAGUCUCCUCAUCUGAAAAACGAGGUGAAGAUUCUUUUAAGUUCAGGGGUACAAGUGCAGGUUUGUUACAUGGGUAAACUUGUGUCAUGGAGGUGUGUUGUACAGAUUAUUUCAUCAUCCAGGUAUUAAGUCUAGUAAUGGGGUGAAGAUUCUAAUGACCUCAUGGAACUGUUGUGAAGUGUAAGUGGGAUGAUACAGGAUCCCAUGGGCUGGGCAUAGCCCGUGACAGAUGUGAGCAGGUCAGCCUGGGUUUUCCAGUCACUCUAAGCACCACCAGGCUGCUAGCCACAUUCGGUGAGGAACCCUAAGCCAAUACGUGCAGCAGAGGCCAGCCGAUGACCUGACAGGGGAUAAGUCCCACCUUCUGGGCAACUUUUACGAGUCUUCUGUGUAAGUACUGUGUGCUAACCGAUUGCGCUGCUGGAGCUGCAGCCUUAUGAGUUUUCUAAAUCACAAGAAGUUCAUCACCUAGUGGGGCUUUUUUAUCUGCCUUUCCUCACUGCUUAAAGACCAAGCCCACAUCUUUCCUUCUCCUGUCUGCUGUCGGAGCAUAAGUGUGUGCCACACGUGACCAGGUGUGGCAGAGUCAGAGCAGGGGGUGGCUUCUGUGGAAGUAGGAGUGAAAGUGUGGAAACAAGUGAGUGCGUGUGUUGACAGGCAUCUGCAUUUGUGUUAGUUGUGCUUACUCAGAGGUCCACAGGCUUGUGGCAGAUUUCAGAAGCUGGUCCUUCUUCAGCAGCUCUCUCGGAGGCACACCUCCCUGAUCUGCAUCUAUGCGGAGUUACCCAGCACAAGGACACCAGGGUCGCUGUGUCACCACCAGAGGCACAGGUAGGGGGAUAAGAUUGGAUGGUGGGGGAAAGGCCUGGGCCUUAUCCGCCAGCCCUGCCACUGGCCUCCAGGACUUAGCCUCGGUUUCUCAAACUGUGUCAGGGACGAGUAAAUGGGAUGAGCAGCCCUUGGCAAGGAGUGGGCGCUAGGAAAUCAUCAGUGAAGGAGGGAGUGAAUGAAUGCAGGCCUGUGUGGCGACUGCUUCAGCAUGGCAGACAAGGUGACGUAUCAGAGCCUUGAGGGUGGGAGCUCCCCAGGUUGGGAAGGGACAGACACGUGGGCCAAUCCUCUGGACAGGAAUAGAGAACGAGGAGGAAACAAGCGCAGAAGCUGGAGCGGGUGGAGAAGAGCAGGGGAGACGGUUCGCAGCAGGAGAAAAGAAGCGAGGAGUCACAGGGAGGGGCCUCCUGGACACCGCUCCCA